UCCGCCAUCGUGGUGUGUUCUUGCCUCCACUUCUCGCCAUGUCUUCUCACAAGACUUGCAGGAUUAAGCGAUUCCUGGCCAAGAAACAAAAGCAAAAUCGUCCCAUUCCCCAGUGGAUUCGGAUGAAAACUGGAAAUAAAAUAAGGUACAACUCCAAAAGGAGACAUUGGAGAAGAACCAAGCUGGGUCUAUAAGGAAUUGCAC